rnacentral:rRNA from 1 species
ACUCCUACGGAGGCAGCAGUCGAGAAUAAUUCACAAUGGGGAACCCGAUGAUGGUGCAACGCCGCGUGGAGGAUGAAGGCCCUAGGGUCGUAAACUCCUGUCAUUCGAGAGCAAGACCUGGGUGUUAACAGCACACAGGGUUGAUAGUAUCGAAAGAGGAAGGGACGGCUAACUUCGUGCCAGCAGCCGCGGUAAUACGAAGGUCCCGAGCGUUGUUCGGAAUCACUGGGCGUAAAGGGAGCGUAGGCGGUUCGGUAAGUCAGGUGUGAAAUCCCGGGGCUCAA